rnacentral:rRNA from 1 species
AGAGCGAACGCUGGCGGCAGGCCUAACACAUGCAAGUCGAGCGCCCCGCAAGGGGAGCGGCAGACGGGAGAGUAACACGUGGGAACGUACCCUUCAGUUCGGAACAACCCAGGGAAACUUGGGCUAAUACCGAAUACGUCCGUAAGGAGAAAGAUUUAUCGCUGAAGGAUCGGCCCGCGUCUGAUUAGCUUGUUGGUGAGGUAACGGCUCACCAAGGCGACGAUCAGUAGCUGGUCUGAGAGGAUGAUCAGCCUCACUGGGACUGAGACACGGCCCAGACUCCUACGGGAGGCAGCAGUGGGGAAUAUUGGACAAUGGGCGCAAGCCUGAUCCAGCCAUGCCGCGUGGGUGAUGAAGGCCCUAGGGUUGUAAAGCCUUUUAACGGGGAAGAUAAUGACGGUACCCGUAGAAUAAGCCCGGCUAACUUCGUGCCAGCAGCCGC